rnacentral:rRNA from 1 species
UACGGGGGGGGCAAGCGUUGUUCGGAAUUACUGGGCGUAAAGGGCUCGUAGGCGGCCAACUAAGUCCGACGUGAAAUCCCUCGGCUUAACCGGGGAACUGCGUCUGAUACUGGAUGGCUUGAGUUUGGGAGAGGGAUGCGGAAUUCCAGGUGUAGCGGUGAAAUGCGUAGAUAUCUGGAGGAACACCGGUGGCGAAGGCGGCAUCCUGGACCAACACUGACGCUGAGGAGCGAAAGCCAGGGGAGCAAACGGG